rnacentral:rRNA from 1 species
CCGGCGACCGGCGCACGGGUGAGUAACACGUAUGAAACCUGCCCGUAGCAGGGGGAUAAGCGGAAGAAAUUCCGUCUAAUACCGCGUAACAACCCAUGGAGGCAUCUCUGUGGGUUUAAAGGAAGCGAUUCCGGCUACGGAUGGUCAUGCGUCGCAUUAGCUUGUUGGCGGAGUAACGGCCCACCAAGGCGACGAUGCGUAGGGGUUCUGAGAGGAAGGUCCCCCACACUGGUACUGAGACACGGACCAGACUCCUACGGGAGGCAGCAG